rnacentral:snRNA from 14 species
AGCUUUGCGCAGUGGCAGUAUCGUAGCCAAGGAGGUUUAUCCGAGGCGCGAUUGUUGCUAAUUGAAAUACAGAGAAAUGUAUAUUUCUUUUUUAUUAAAUUACUUUGUUUGUUUAUCGUCCAAAUGUGGA